AAGAAAGGCUGCAACGGGAAGCGACCCGACUGCAGUGUCCUGAGACUGAGCUCAAGGAAAGUUAGGUGCAUUUACCAGGUCAACUACUCUUGGUUUUUCAGAAAAAUGGACAGUUUGAAUCAAGCACUGCAUGCAAAAUCCAUCUAAACAGAAAGACCUUGAGAGAUUGCUUCACAUAAAUUAAAGAUGUGACCCCACAGAUAACCCUGUUUAGAUCAGGUUUUGCCAAGCCUAAGAAGACUUACUCCAGCAGCUGACAUUAGUAUAAUGAUGGUGUAACCAAACAGCAGCCAUGUCCAGCAAGACUUCCUCUAAACGUCGUUAUCAACCAGCAGCAGAGUUUGAUGAUGCCACUAUCGCCCGCAAAAGGGAAUAUUGGAGGAGUAAGAAAAGAGAGCAGAGGGCAAGAAAGUCAUCUACCAAAAAGAAGAUUGGAAAUGAAAAUCUGGGGUUGCGCAUGUCUGUUGUUAGUGAAGCCAGCAAUGAUCCCUCUCUACAUAAUCAUAAUGUUUCAUUCAAACGGGAAGAUGCUGAUGCUCCUAAAAACUCCUUCAGCUCAGGUCUAUCAGUAUCUGAGACUAAUAUUACUAUGGUGCCAUGCCAAAAUGCGAGAUGGUUUCAAAGGACCAAGCUCAACCAUGCCUUACCUCAGUACCCAGAAACAAGCACAGAUUCCCUGAAGGGUGUAAUGGGUAAUAAAAAAAUAAAGCCCUCAGAUACAGGGUCAUCAAAAACAAAUGCUUCAACGGUUGAAUAUCUCUGCCCUACAGUCCAUUCGGUGCCUACAACAUGCAUCGAGUUGCAUCCAAACAGUACUCAUGCUCAAAAAACAAAAUCAGGAAUGUCAUCCCUAAAUGGCAAGCACAUAACAACAUCUUUGCAAAGCCAUGUAUCCAUGGUUUUACCAGUGCACAGAAACCAAAAUAAGCCUCAGAACUCACUUGGACCCUUGACCUCUGCAGAAUGUAAGGUUCAUGAAAACCAGAAUCCUAUCACUAAGAGAAGAACAUGUGCCUUUGCUUCAGAGCACAACACAGGAGUGGCUAUGACUGAAGAAGAGAUGGUUGCUAAGCGUAGAGAGAAAUGGCGUAUCAAAAAGCGGGAACAGAGAGCAAAGCGUGCUGCAAUGCUGGCCCGGGACCGAGAAGGGAGUCUCGGACAAGGACAACCUUUAUCUGUUGGUAUCAUGCAUGCUUCGUCUCCUACUUACAGUAAGGCCUUGAGAGGAAUCAGUCUCAACUCAAAUCUUGUAUCCCUCAAUCAACAGUCGCUGGGAGCAAAAUUUAACGGUUCUCGAACAACACAACUACAUGUUCAGAGUACUAAACCAAACCAUGCAUCCUUAACCUCUGGUAUUUUGCAGUCAUCCUCAAGUAAAUCCAAAGUACAGAAAUGUGCACAUACUCAAAAGAGACGUUGUCAAAACCAAAUGAGGAAAUCCACCCUUGGUGCUUCCAAAGUUGAGUCUCCCGAGGAUCGCCAUGCCAGGCAGAAAGAAUACUGGAGAAUUAAGAAACGUGAGCAGAGAGCAAGGCUGUCUAUGGCAUUAAAAGCACGACUGAAGGAACGUGACGCACUAAAGCAUCAUGGGAGACACUCCUACAGCAGUUUCAACCAGGCGUGCGGAGUUGAAGCGAGCAAAACAAGUGCAUUUGAAGUUUCCUCAGAUACCAUUGGUGGUUUUAUCAAAGAAGAUGGCACGGUGACAGUCACCAUUUCUAAGACAUCUCCCGAGGCUUCCCUACCUGCAAGUCAAGACAUUUCCAAUGUGAAAUGCAUUGGAAAUGUAAAACUCCAGGUUCAAGUAAAUUCUCCCCUAUAUUCAGAUGCUCCACCAGUCACAAAGCUAGCUUCCGCUCCAUUCAACAUUUCUAGUAACUGUACUAAUGCUCAACAAAACUCUUUAGUAAAGUCUAGGUUAACCAGAGGUGCAGUUAUGGGCAGUAUGACAGUCACCAUCCAGUCUGAAACCCCAACAGAAGAAGGAAGGGUCGCCCGUUUGAGGGAGUAUUGGAGGAUAAAGAAACGAGAGCAAAGGGCUAGUCGAGCUGCCCGACUUGGGAAUGGUCUGCUUAGGUCGAAGGUUUCUGUGUUAAAGCAGAGAGAGCAAAACAAGAAGACAAACCAUAGGCAGAGUAUUACUUCAUCUAUCACCACAACAGUUUGUCACUCCUCUACCAGUGCCCCAAUACCUAUAAAAGAAGAGCAUGUCUAUCCCACUAUACAAGCUGUGUUUUCCAUCCCAGAAAUUACUCCCUGCAUCAGUGUUAAUAGUUGCAAAGAAUCCUUAGAAUCACACAUUGAGCCUCCAACAGCUGUGGACCAUCAUGCCACCACUCUUCAGGCUGUUGCCUCCAUGAAAAAGCUCCUGGAGGAAUCAGUUUACACACCAGAAGAAAAUAAUGCCAACGAAAUGCAUGUUAAGUGUGAAAAUGAGCCUCUUCCGUUGACUAAAGAUGACCUUUUUAAAUCUGAAGAUGCAAAGCCAAGUCUUACCUUACAACAAAACGUCUUGUUACAGUGUGACCUCUCAAAAGACACAAGCCUUAAAGAUAUCGAAUUGAGUCCUCAGGCAUCAACUUUUGAAAACACCAGUCGUUAUAAGACUCAUAACGUCUGUCAAGAGGCUACAGAUGGAAGUCAUGCCAUUUCUCCAGUGGCUCUGCAACCUCAGAAGUUCAGUGAUGGUGGAGCAGAUCCCAAGCAGGCCUGCCCUUCACAGGCCUUGCAAAAGCAGCAGCUUGGUGAAAGUGAUGAGCUUCAACGAAAGAGAGAGUAUUGGCGGUUAAAGAAGAGACAACAGCGGGCUAGAAAAGCCAACAAAGAUGCAACCAAACAUGCAGUUCUUCGUAAUCUGCCACAGAAGAAAACACGAAGCACAACUCUCAUGCAAGCCAUGUCCCAGGACACUUCCACAUGCAGACAGAUCCCCAUUCAGAAAAAAACAAGCAGGUGCACCAAGCCUUCUGGUCCACAAACACAACCUACAGAUAAAUCAAGAUGUGAUAGAAGCCAAAUAGUGGCAACGCCAAAUCCACAAGAAGAUCCAGAGGAGGUUAUACGUAGAAGACGCAUGCAGUGGAGGAUCAAGAAACAGGAGCAGAGAGCUAGAAAGGCAGCACGUGAGAGAAAGCUACACCAGAUGAUGGUCCCUCCACAAGGCCAGGAUUUACAGAGUCAGAACUCUCCCAGUCUCUGCUCAGCAGUAGUUCAGAGUGUAACUUUAGAAGACCAACUUGGCUACUUUGCUGAACCAUGUCAACCUGCACUCAAAGGUUAUUUUUAAUGAAUUUUCUAACACACUUUACCAAACAUUUUAAGUGACUAUUUGUUUACUGGUAUUACCAACAUCUUCUGUUUGAAGAGGAGUCAAGCUUUGCACCAAAUGAUGCAAUGGAGGGACCUUUAUCACAGGAAGAGUGGAGAAAUGUCUACCUCAUGGACUUUGAUCCUGUCAACCCUUUGUUGGUGUGUAUGGUUUGUGGAGAGCAGCAGUACUCUGUGAGUGUGGAAGGCGUCAAGGCUCACAUUGAGGAGGCGCAUCCUGAUACACUAUCAUUGGGAGACCUUGAACAUCAAGGCUUUCUCGAAGCCUGGGAUAAACAGGUGGCAGUCCGAGAGCACUUCAUCACCCACCAGCUUCAACAGCGAUGCAGAGCUUCUACAGGUAACAGGGAAAUCUGCAUUCAGCCUGGCUUUGAAAAUACAAAAUAAUUUAUUUUAUAAAUCAUUUUUCAGAACGGAAUUUAACCUGCCCGGUCAAAAUUGAAGCUAAGGUCGUGGCCAACGACUUUGAGUGAACUGAUGGGUGACUGACAGACAUGACCAUGUCUUGUUCUGAUGGCCAUCUAGUUGAUGAGGUCUUCGCAGGGGAUCUGUCUCUGUGGCUCAUCUAGUUGACGUGGUCUCCGCUGACGUUCACUAAAACCUAACUUCAUGCCUUAAUGAUUUAAGAUUCCGUUUUCUUACAUUUUCUUUGUAAGUUCCAUCAGUCACGUAAGAGAUCAAUAUCAAAAUGUUGAUUCACCCUUUUUUCAUUACUGAGCCUCAUUAACUGUAUGUUUACAUUCUGGUAAUACUCCAAACAGUGCAUUUACAGAACCUGUAAAUCAGGUUACAAAAUAAGAUCCAUCUAUAAAAACGUUAACACACAAACAACUGGCAUGUUAUUCUGUAAUCUAAAGAACUGCAUUUUGAUUUUGUAUUUCCAGUAUUUAUUUCUGUACAGUUUAUGCACUUCAUAAU
ensembl:lncRNA uncharacterized LOC107597880